rnacentral:rRNA from 1 species
CCUACGGGUGGCAGCAGUGAGGAAUAUUGGUCAAUGGACGAGAGUCUGAACCAGCCAAGUAGCGUGAAGGAUGACUGCCCUAUGGGUUGUAAACUUCUUUUAUAAAGGAAUAAAACGAGGCACGUGUGCCUUUUUGCAUGUACUUUAUGAAUAAGGAUCGGCUAACUCCGUGCCAGCAGCCGCUGUAAUACGGAGGAUCCGAGCGUUAUCCGGAUUUAUUGGGUUUAAAGGGAGCGUAGAUGGGUUGUUAAGUCAGUUGUGAAAGUUUGCGGCUCAACCGUAAAAUUGCAAUUGAUACUGGCAGUCGUGAGUACAGUUGAGGUAGGCGGAAUUCGUGGUGUAGCGGUGAAAUGCUUAGAUAUCACGAAGAACCCCGAUUGCGAAGGCAGCUUACUAAACUGUGACUGACAUUGAUGCUCGAAAGUGUGGGUAUCAAACAGGAUUAGAUACCCCAGUAGUC